UCCUUCAUUUCGACCCUGGUGAAUCUGACGAUUAUGUGCCUUAGGGUUGCUCUUCUUGACGAAUAUCUUUGUGGUGUUCUCUGUAUUUCCUGGACUUGAAUGUUUGCCUGCCUUGCUAGGUUGGGGAAGUUUUCCUGGAUAAUAUCCUGAAGAGUAUUUUCCAGCUUGGAUUCAUUCUCUUCGUCGCAUUCGGGUACGCCUAUCAAACGUAGAUUAGGUCUUUUCACAUAGUCCCACAUUUCUUGGAGACUUUGUUCAUUCCUUUUUACCCUUUUU